GAUGAACGCUAGCUACAGGCUUAACACAUGCAAGUCGAGGGGAAACGACAUCGAAAGCUUGCUUUUGAUGGGCGUCGACCGGCGCACGGGUGAGUAACGCGUAUCCAACCUGCCCAUCACUUGGGAAUAACCUUGCGAAAGUAAGACUAAUACCCAAUGACAUCCCACGAAGACAUCUGAAUGGGAUUAAAGAUUUAUCGGUGAUGGAUGGGGAUGCGUCUGAUUAGCUUGUUGGCGGGGUAACGGCCCACCAAGGCAACGAUCAGUAGGGGUUCUGAGAGGAAGGUCCCCCACAUUGGAACUGAGACACGGUCCAAACUCCUACGGGAGGCAGCAGUGAGGAAUAUUGGUCAAUGGGCGAGAGCCUGAACCAGCCAAGUAGCGUGCAGGAUGACGGCCCUAUGGGUUGUAAACUGCUUUUAUAAGGGAAUAAAGUGGGUCUCGUGAGACUUUUUGCAUGUACCGUAUGAAUAAGGACCGGCUAAUUCCGU
rnacentral:rRNA from 1 species